rnacentral:misc_RNA from 1 species
UUAAGUUCAGCGGGUAUUCCUACCUGAUCCGAGGUCAACCUUGUAAUAUAGGGGGGGGGUUUUACGGCAGGAGCAUCACCAAAAGUCCAUAGCGAGAGAAAUUACUACGCUCGGAUUUCAGUGAGUCCGCCACUAUUUUUCAGGGCUUGCAAUGCAAUGCCCUAGCACCAGACCGAAGCCUGAGGGUUGAAAUGACGCUC